UACAGAGGGGGCAAGCGUUGUUCGGAAUUACUGGGCGUAAAGGGCGCGUAGGCGGCCUGCUAAGUCGAACGUGAAAUCCCCGAGCUCAACUCGGGAACUGCGGUGGGUACGGGCAGACUAGAGUGAUGUAGGGGAGACUGGAAUUCCUGGUGUAGCGGUGAAAUGCGCAGAUAUCAGGAGGAACACCGGUGGCGAAGGCGGUUCUCUGGGCAUUACCUGACGCUGAGGAGCGAAAGUGUGGGGAGCGAACAGG
rnacentral:rRNA from 1 species